rnacentral:rRNA from 1 species
GACGAACGCUGGCGGCGUGCUUAACACAUGCAAGUCGAACGGAAAGGCCCUGCUUUUGUGGGGUGCUCGAGUGGCGAACGGGUGAGUAACACGUGAGUAACCUGCCCUUGACUUUGGGAUAACUUCAGGAAACUGGGGCUAAUACCGGAUAGGAGCUCCCGCUGCAUGGUGGGGGUUGGAAAGUUUCGGCGGUUGUGGAUGGAUUCGCGGAUUAUCAGCUUGUUGGUGGGGUAGUGGCUUACCAAGGCUUUGACGGGUAGCCGGCCUGUGAGGGUGGCCGGGCACAUUGCGACUGCGAUAGGCCGCAGUCGCCUACGGGAGGCAGCAGUGGGAAAUAUUGCCCAAUGGGAGGAAGCCUGUUACAGCAUCGCCGCGUGCUGGAGGACGGCCUUCGGGUGGUGAAACGCUUUAGGCUGUGACGAAGCGUGAGUGACGGUAAUGUAUAAAGAAGCACCGGCUAACUACGUG